CACAAACUUGCUGUAGCGCGCACGUUCUCAACUCACCCCCACCAUGCCGCCACCUCACCCGCAUGCUCACCGGCCGCCGGAGCCACGGCCUCCUCCCGCGCGCUCGCCGGCCGCCGGAGCUGGCGCCUCCUCCCGCGUGCUCGUCGGACACCGGAACCGUUGCCUCCUCCCGCGCGCUCGCCGAACGCCCGAGCCGCCGCCUCCUCCUGCGCUCUCGCCGGACACCCGAGCCGCCGCCUCGCGCGCGUGGUCGCCGGCCAUCGGGCGCUCCUAUCCCAUCGCCGGUUCCUGCCGCCGCUGCCAGGUCCCCAGCCGCCAGAUCCCGCUACCGCAACCAGGGCCCCAACCGCCGGUUCCUGCCGCCGCUGCCAGGUCCCCAGCCACCAGAUCCCGCUGCCGCAACCGGGGCCACAACCGCCGGUUCUAGCCGCCGCUGAUGGUGGAAGGGCCGCCGAUGCAGGACACCUCCCGGCGCCGCGUAUCUGGUGACAUGACCUUCUCUGUCCUCUGAAAAUUGCAGGCGUCAGAGGGUAUGGGUACCUCUGGGAGCCGCUCUAGUGGGUCGGGAUGGUCACCAGUAAGUCUACCCUCAUCCUCUUGGACUUCGUUUGUUCCUUCCUUUGUCAUGUGAGAAUUGGAUCGAGAUAUCUCAUUGCAACCUGAACUUUCUUUCGGUGCUUGUUGGGGAGACUACCAAUUUUGUGGUUUAUAUGUUUGCGCCAGCCGUCCUCGUCGCGCCGCUCGGCGCACUCAGCAUCAUUGUCAGUGUUGUUCUAGCGCAUUUCAUGCUGAAUGAGAAGUUGCAGCGGGUGGGCGUUCUGGGUUGUGUUCUCUACAUUGUUGGGUCGACGGUGAUCAUCCUCCACGCUCCCGAGGAGAGGUCCCCGACCUCGGUGGAGCGGAUUUGGCGCCUGGCAAUACAACCUAGUAAGCAGAUGGGGGCACCAGCAACGGACUAGCGGCGACCGGGCAUUCUCUCAUCCAGAUGCCCACGGACGUGUGUCCUCAAUGCCAUGAGCUAGCCCCGCUCAACCUGUCUCCAGGACGAAGACGAGUCCACGGUGCUACCCAGCAGGAAGGAUGACAAGAAAGUUGCAAAAAAUGCUAGUGCAGCUGAUUGGCUCCUUUGUGUUGUGAUGUACUAUGUUGUGUAGAUUUUUUUGAAGUUCAUGUUGUGAACCCAACUAAGUUUGAGCACAGAAGUUUAGAUCGUGGCUGCUUUCAAUUUUCUCCUGUAGCAGAAAUCUCGCUUCCCUCCUGUUAUACUAUGUCCACCAAUGUGUUGUUUGUUAAUGCUUUUUGUCUGAA